rnacentral:rRNA from 1 species
CCAGACUCCUACGGGAGGCAGCAGUGAGGAAUAUUGGUCAAUGGGCGCAGGCCUGAACCAGCCAAGUCGCGUGAGGGAAGACUGCCCUAUGGGUUGUAAACCUCUUUUAUAAGGGAAGAAUAAUGACUACGUGUAGUCAGAUGCCCGUACCUUAUGAAUAAGCAUCGGCUAACUCCGUGCCAGCAGCCGCGGUAAUACGGAGGAUGCGAGCGUUAUCCGGAUUUAUUGGGUUUAAAGGGUGCGUAGGCGGCAUUAUAAGUUAGUGGUAAAAUAUUGGGGCUUCACCUCACUACGCCAUUAAUACUGUAGAGCUAGAGAACAGACGAGGUAGGCGGAAUAAGUUAAGUAGCGGUGAAAUGCAUAGAUAUAACUUAGAACACCGAUAGCGAAGGCAGCGUACCAGACUGAGUCUGACGCUGAUGCACGAGAGCAUGGGUAGCGAACAGGAUUAGAUACCCGCGUAUCC